CAACGGCCGGCCCUCCUCUGCCUCUUCAUUUUUUCGGAGACCUACAGCUUCUGUUUUCUAGAGAUUUCCCCCCUUCGACUAUUGUGGAAAUGUUUUGUGCACGCAAGAUCUUCAAUAACAGUUCAAAGCUUGGAUGAAAUUUUAUGUAUAUUAUGAUAGGAAGGUGCUUCAGCGAACUAUUAGGAGGCAGAAACUAAUUUUUUUAAGAUAAUUGAUACCUUCAGUGGCACACUUGGAGUAUGAAAAUGCCUCAUUUGGAUCUAUGCCCCUCCGUUACUGCCCAACAGCUGGUGAAUUUUUUGUUU